CCGAGUUUACAAACUCCCAAAUCCCCUGUGAACUUAUACCUGUAUACCGUUGCUUCGGCGGGUUCGCCCGCCGAGGGACCGACAAACAAACUCUUGUGUUUCUAUCUUUGGCAUGUCUGAGUGGAAUCAUAAGCAAAUGAAUCA
rnacentral:misc_RNA from 1 species